GAGGCGCAUACCGAAAAGCCUUAUUAGAGUAGGCA
rnacentral:ncRNA from 1 species